rnacentral:rRNA from 1 species
CCGGCCCAACGCGCGGGUAAUACCGGAUAUCGUGGCGCUCCUCAUGGGGCGUUGACAAAAGAUUUAUCGACAGGGGAUGAGCUUGCGUCCGAUUAGCUAGUUGGCGGGGCAACGGCCCUCCAAGGCGACGAUCGGUAGCCGGCCUGAGAGGGUGAUCGGCCACAUUGGGACUGAGAUACGGCCCAGACUCCUACGGGAGGCAGCAGUAGGGAAUAUUGCACAAUGGGGGAAACCCUGAUGCAGCAACGCCACGUGUGGGAAGAAGCAUUUCGGUGUGUAAACCACUGUCAUGAGGGAAUAAGGCCCGCCUCCGGGCGGGAUUGAAUGUACCUUGAGAGGAAGCACCGGCAAACUUCGUGCCAGCAGCCGCGGUAAUACGAGGGGUGCAAGCGUUGUUCGGAAUUACUGGGCGUAAAGGGAGCGUAGGCGGAGAUUCAAGCGGAUUGUACAAUCCCGGGGCCCAACCCCGGCUCUGCAGUCCGAACUGGAUCUCUUGGAUAGUUCAGGGGCAGGCGGAAUUCCUGGUGUAGCGGUGGAAUGCGUAGAGAUCAGGAAGAACACCGAUGGCGAAGGCAGCCUGCUGGGGACUCAUCGACGCUGAGGCUCGAAAGUGCGGGUAGCAAACAGGAUUAGAUACCCUGGUAGUCCGCACCGUAAACAAUGCAUACUGGGUGUCCGGGGGUUCCCCCGGGUACCGUAGCCAACGCGUUAAGUAUGCCGCCUGGGGAGUACGUACGCAAGUAUGAAACUCAAAGGAAUUGACGGGGGCCCGCACAAGCGGUGGAGCAUGUGGUUUAAUUCGAAGCAACGCGCAGAACCUUACCAGGGUUUGACAUGGAAUCGCCGCAGCG